GCCACACCUCCACUUUACUUUGUUUCCUUUUUUUUCUUUCACGUUUCAUUUCAAAUCCUUAACCGUAAUAUUUUUAAUCUAAAUUUAUAUUUUUUAUUUGCCAUCUCACCACUUUCAUCUCACCACUCUCAUUUCCUAUAUCCUUUUCGAUUUCUCUCCAUCAUAUCUUCCCCUGAUACAUCUUUUAUCAAUUUAAAUGCCGAUGGAUGCCUCUAUUUUUAUAGAUUUUUGCUUUGGCCAUUUUUUUCUCGGUUCAGUCGAAUCGAGAGGCUUAAUUUGAACUCGGAAUCCUAUUUCUAGAAACACGAAGGCCUGAGAUUUUGAGUAUUUGAAUCUGGAAUCCUGAUUGAACGAAGAUUGAAGCACAUGACUUGAUAAAGAAACAACAUCAGAAUAGAUAUUCUAUUAAAUUUUGUUUAGUUAAAUUUUUUAUUGUAAGCACAAUUUUGUAUCUGUUUGAAUAAUUGAUUAUUUUAGGAUAUCAGGAUUUUUGUAUUUAUGGUUUUAUGUAGUUAAAUUUGUUGAGUAAUUAUUUGUACUUUUUGUAUUUGAAAUAACAUUGUAAUUUUUUAUC